CAGGCUUAACACAUGCAAGUCGAGGGGCAGCAUGGUCUUAGCUUGCUAAGGCCGAUGGCGACCGGCGCACGGGUGAGUAACACGUAUCCAACCUGCCGUCUACUCUUGGACAGCCUUCUGAAAGGAAGAUUAAUACAAGAUGGCAUCAUGAGUCCGCAUGUUCACAUGAUUAAAGGUAUUCCGGUAGACGAUGGGGAUGCGUUCCAUUAGAUAGUAGGCGGGGUAACGGCCCACCUAGUCUUCGAUGGAUAGGGGUUCUGAGAGGAAGGUCCCCCACAUUGGAACUGAGACACGGUCCAAACUCCUACGGGAGGCAGCAGUGAGGAAUAUUGGUCAAUGGGCGAGAGCCUGAACCAGCCAAGUAGCGUGAAGGAUGACUGCCCUAUGGGUUGUAAACUUCUUUUAUAAAGGAAUAAAGUCGGGUAUGGAUACCCGUUUGCAUGUACUUUAUGAAUAAGGAUCGGCUAACUCCGUGCCAGCAGCCGCGGUAAUACGGAGGAUCCGAGCGUUAUCCGGAUUUAUUGGGUUUAAAGGGAGCGUAGAUGGAUGUUUAAGUCAGUUGUGAAAGUUUGCGGCUCAACCGUAAAAUUGCAGUUGAUACUGGAUAUCUUGAGUGCAGUUGAGGCAGGCGGAAUUCGUGGUGUAGCGGUGAAAUGCUUAGAUAUCACGAAGAACUCCGAUUGCGAAGGCAGCCUGCUAAGCUGCAACUGACAUUGAGGCUCGAAAGUGUGGGUAUCAAACAGGAUUAGAUACCCUGGUAGUCCACACGGUAAACGAUGAAUACUCGCUGUUUGCGAUAUACUGCAAGCGGCCAAGCGAAAGCGUUAAGUAUUCCACCUGGGGAGUACGCCGGCAACGGUGAAACUCAAAGGAAUUGACGGGGGCCCGCACAAGCGGAGGAACAUGUGGUUUAAUUCGAUGAUACGCGAGGAACCUUACCCGGGCUUAAAUUGCAGAUGAAUUACGGUGAAAGCCGUAAGCCGCAAGGCAUCUGUGAAGGUGCUGCAUGGUUGUCGUCAGCUCGUGCCGUGAGGUGUCGGCUUAAGUGCCAUAACGAGCGCAACCCUUGUUGUCAGUUACUAACAGGUUCCGCUGAGGACUCUGACAAGACUGCCAUCGUAAGAUGUGAGGAAGGUGGGGAUGACGUCAAAUCAGCACGGCCCUUACGUCCGGGGCUACACACGUGUUACAAUGGGGGGUACAGAGGGUCGCUACCACGCGAGUGGAUGCCAAUCCCCAAAACCUCUCUCAGUUCGGACUGGAGCCUGCAACCCGACUCCACGAAGCUGGAUUCGCUAGUAAUCGCGCAUCAGCCACGGCGCGGUGAAUACGUUCCCGGGCCUUGUACACACCGCCCGUCAAGCCAUGGGAGCCGGGGGUACCUGAAGUGCGUAACCGCGAGGAGCGCCCUAGGGUAAAACUGGUGACUGGGGC
rnacentral:rRNA from 1 species